rnacentral:rRNA from 1 species
ACUUUACCAUGCGGGCAACCGUGAUAAGGAAACCCCGAGUGCCAGCACAGGCUGGCUGUCCGCCAGUUUAAAUAACUGGUGAAGAAAGGGCCGGGCAAGACCGGUGCCAGCCGCCGCGGUAAUACCGGCGGCUCGAGUGGUGGCCGCUAUUACUGGGCUUAAAGGGUCCGUAGCUUGAUAACUGGGUCCCUUGAGAAAUCCGCCAGCUCAACUGGCGGGCGUUCAGGGGAAACUUGUUUUCUUGGGACCGGGAGAGGUGAGGGGUACUGCCGGGGUAGGAGUGAAAUCCUGUAAUCCCGGUGGGACCACCUAUGGCGAAGGCAUCUCACCAGAACGAGUCCGACAGUGAGGGACGAAAGCUGGGGGAGCAAACCGG